rnacentral:sRNA from 1 species
GCAUGCCUGUCGGGACCCGAAA